UACGUAGGGUGCGAGCGUUUAAUCGGAAUUACUGGGCGUAAAGUGUGCGCAGGUGGCCGCGCAAGUCGGGUGUGAAAGCCCCGGGCUCAACCUGGGAAUUGCAUUCGAGACUGCGUAGCUAGGGUGCGGAAGAGGGAAGCGGAAUUUCCGGUGUAGCGGUGAAAUGCGUAGAUAUCGGAAGGAACACCAGUGGCGAAAGCGGCUUCCUGGUCCAGCACCGACGUCAGGCACGAAAGCGUGGGGAGCAAACAGG
rnacentral:rRNA from 1 species